CGCACAUUGCGCCCUUUGGCAUUCCGAAGGGCAUGCCUGUUCGAGCGUCAUUACACCACUCAAGCCCGGCUUGGUAUUGGGCGUUAGGUCUCUCCUACGCCUCAAUUUCACCGGCUGGAACGAUCCCCAUCUCAGCGUUGUGGCAUACGAAUUCGCUGGUGAGGGGGGCGGCCCGGCCGUCAAAACUUUUCAAGGUUGACCUCGGAUCAGGUAGGGAUACCCGCUGAACUUAA
rnacentral:misc_RNA from 1 species